UCAACGCUGGCGGCGCGCCUAACACAUGCAAGUCGGACGAGAAAGUGGAGCAAUCCAUGAGUAAAGUGGCGUACGGGUGAGUAACACGUGGAUCAUCUGCCCUUUUGUGGGGAAUACCGCUGGGAAACCGGCGACAAUACCGCAUAAGCCCGAGAGGGGAAAGCAGCAAUGCGCAGAAGGAGGAGUCCGCGGUCGAUUAGCUAGUUGGUAGGGUAAUGGCCUACCAAGGCUGUGAUCGAUAGCCGGCCUGAGAGGGCACACGGCCACACUGGCACUGAAACACGGGCCAGACUCCUACGGGAGGCAGCAGUGGGGAAUCUUGCACAAUGGGGGAAACCCUGAUGCAGCGACGUCGCGUGAGCGAUGAAGCCCUUCGGGGUGUAAAGNUCUUUCGGCAGGGAAGAUUAUGACGGUACCUGCAGAAGCAGCUGCGGCUAACUACGUGCCAGCAGCCGCGGUAAUACGUAGGCAGCAAGCGUUGUUCGGAGUUACUGGGCGUAAAGGGUGCGUAGGCUGUUCCGCAAGU
rnacentral:rRNA from 1 species